ensembl:snRNA U6 U6 spliceosomal RNA
CUGCUCGCAUCAGCAGCACGUAUACUAAAAUAGGAAUGAUACAGAGACGAUUAGCAUGGCCCCCGCACAAGGAUGACAUGAAAAUUCGUGAAGUGUUCCAUAUUAUU